rnacentral:rRNA from 1 species
UACGGGGGGGGCAAGCGUUGUUCGGAAUUACUGGGCGUAAAGGGCGCGUAGGCGGUUUGCUAAGUUGGAUGUGAAAACUCUGGGCUUAACCCAGAGCCUGCAUCCAAAACUGGCAAACUUGAGUACUGGAGGGGAAAGCGGAAUUCCUGGUGUAGCGGUGAAAUGCGUAGAUAUCAGGAGGAACACCUGCGGUGUAGACGGCUUUCUGGACCAUUGCUGACGCUGAGACACGAAAGCGUGGGUAGCAAACAGG